AGUGAACGCUGGCGGUAGGCCUAACACAUGCAAGUCGAACGGCAGCACAGUAAGAGCUUGCUCUUACGGGUGGCGAGUGGCGGACGGGUGAGGAAUACAUCGGAAUCUACUUUUUCGUGGGGGAUAACGUAGGGAAACUUACGCUAAUACCGCAUACGACCUACGGGUGAAAGCAGGGGAUCUUCGGACCUUGCGCGAUUGAAUGAGCCGAUGUCGGAUUAGCUAGUUGGCGGGGUAAAGGCCCACCAAGGCGACGAUCCGUAGCCGGUCUGAGAGGAUGAUCAGCCACACUGGAACUGAGACACGGUCCAGACUCCUACGGGAGGCAGCAGUGGGGAAUAUUGGACAAUGGGCGCAAGCCUGAUCCAGCCAUACCGCGUGGAUGAAGAAGGCCUUCGGGUUGUAAAGCCCUUUUGUUGGGAAAGAAAAGCAGCAGGUUAAUACCCCGCUGUUCUGACGGUACCCAAAGAAUAAGCACCGGCUAACUUCGUG
rnacentral:rRNA from 1 species